CUUUUAAAUCUGCCGAACUGAAAUGGAGGUUAGCCGACGACAUCACACCUGUCCGGCCGUGACCGUUAAACUUGUGGCCCCUUCACGCGCCGCUGCGCACCUGCACACUGAGGGCGUGUCCAGGCUCGUGCGCUCCUGCGAGGCGAGGCGCAGCGGGCCGACAGCAGCGCGCGGCGGGCUGCGGCGACCUGUCUCUUUAAGUCGGUGUCAAAGCCGAUUACCGCUGAUCUCCGUCGUGAUUCUGUUUUCACCGUCUGUUCCCUGAAUCUAUUUUUGCUGUGCGCCGCUGAAGGUACGAUCAGCUUUCUCGUUUUGAUACAUUUUUAUUUUUUUACCCUCGUCGGCUCGAGCGCGCCAGGUAACUCCUCGCCAAAGUUUGGCGCACGGAAACGUCGUGAAGUGUUGUUGUUUUUCUGCGGCUCUGCUUGGUAAGAGAGCCCACAUUAAAGCCCCAAUUCCGGCGAGCUGGUGAGGGUGAUGUGCGCUGCGCCGCGGACUCUCCAACUUUUUAUACCAUGGUAAGCCUGGAUUACCUUUCCCUGCAAACGGAGAUAUUAACCGCUUUCUCUCUGGUAUCCUUCCGCUCAAACAACGGCAGUGGUAGUCCGGCAGUGCUGUGAUGUGAUGCCUCGGGUCACUGUUUGAAGUUGGCACCAAAAUAAAAACAAAAUCCGGGUGAACAUAAAAUGCAGAAGGGCGUGCGGUACAAUGAGGGCCACGCUCUGUAUCUGUCGGUGGUUGCGCGUAAAGAGGGCACCAAGCGCGGCUUCCUGAGCAAGAAGACCACGGAGAACAGCCGCUGGACCGAGAAGUACUUCGCCCUGUACCAGAACGUGCUCUUCUACUUCGAGAACGACCAGAGCACGAGGCCGUCCGGCAUAUACCUGCUGGAGGGAUGCACGUGCGAGCGCGCACCGGCGCCCAAGGUCUCCGCAAUCAGCAAGGAGCCCAUGGAGAGACCGCAGCACUACUUCCUGGUCAUCUUUGGCCACGAUGGACAGAAACCUUUGGAGCUGCGGACAGAGGAAGAGUCAGACUGCAAUGAGUGGGUGGAGUGCAUCCAGCAGGCCAGUUACUCUGACGUGAUCGUCGAGCGUGAGAUCCUGAUGCAGAAGUACAUCCACCUGGUCCAGAUCAUGGAGACUGAGAAGGUUGCAGCCAAUCAGCUUCGCACUCAGCUGGAGGACCAGGACACUGAGAUCGAGAGACUUAAAGCUGAGAUUGUAGUGUUGAACAAAGCCAAGGAGAGGAUGCAGCCUUACCAGAGCAACCAAGAGGAGGAAGACCCAGAUAUUAAAAAGAUCAAAAAGGUGCAAAGUUUCAUGCGUGGCUGGCUGUGCCGGAGGAAGUGGAAGAUCAUUGUCCAGGACUACAUCUGUUCCCCUCAUGCUGAGAGCAUGAGAAAAAGGAACCAGAUUGUCUUCAACAUGGUGGAAGCAGAGACAGAAUACGUCCACCAGCUCUCCAUCCUGGUGAACUGUUUCCUGAGGCCGCUCCGCAUGGCUGCCAGCUCCAAGAAACCUCCCAUCAGCCACGAUGACGUCAGCAGCAUAUUCCUCAACAGUGAGACCAUCAUGUUUCUGCACGAGAUCUUCCAUCAAGGUCUUAAAGCUCGGAUCGCCAACUGGCCCACGCUGGUUCUGGCGGACCUGUUUGACAUCCUGCUGCCCAUGCUGAACAUUUACCAGGAGUUUGUGCGUAACCACCAGUACAGUCUGCAGGUGCUGGCAAACUGUAAGCAGAACAGAGACUUUGACAAGCUGCUGAAACAGUACGAGGCCAACGCUGCUUGUGAGGGCCGGAUGUUGGAGACGUUCCUCACUUAUCCCAUGUUCCAGAUUCCACGAUACAUCAUCACUCUUCAUGAGCUGCUGGCACACACACCUCAUGAGCAUGUGGAGCGCAAGAGUCUGGAAUUUGCCAAAUCCAAACUGGAGGAGCUGUCGAAGAUGAUGCACGAUGAAGUGAGUGACACCGAGAACAUCAGGAAGAAUCUGGCCAUAGAGAGGAUGAUUGUAGAGGGCUGUGACAUCCUGUUAGACACAAGUCAGACCUUCGUCAGACAAGGCUCUCUCAUCCAGCUGCCGUCCAGCAGUGAGCGGGGCAUGCUCAGUAAGGUCCGCCUGGGCUCCCUCUCACUGAGGAAGGAAGGAGAGCGACAGUGUUUUCUGUUUACCAAACACUUCCUCAUCUGUACCCGAACAUCUGGAGGAAAGCUUCACUUGCUCAAGCAAGGAGGAGCGCUGUCCCUGAUAGAGUGUACUCUCAUUGAAGAACUAGAUGCCAGUGAUGAGGACUACAACGCAGCAGGUCAAGGCUUCAGCCAUCUGGAGUUCAAAAUUGUGGUGGAGCCUCCUGACGGUCAGUCCUUCUCUGUUGUCCUCUUGGCUCCUUCUCGCCAAGAAAAGGCUGCCUGGACCAGCGAUAUCAGCCAGUGCAUUGAUAAUAUCCGAUGUAACGGCCUGAUGACCAGUGUGUUUGAGGAGAACUCCAAAGUUUCUGUGCCGCACAUGAUCAAGUCUGAUGCCCGACUGCAUAAAGACGACGUGGACAUUUGUUUUAGCAAGACGCUCAACUCCUGCAAGGUCCCACAGAUCCGAUAUGCUAGCGUGGAGCGCCUGCUGGAGCGACUGACGGACCUGCGAUUCCUCUCCAUAGAUUUCCUCAACACCUUCCUCCACACGUACAGGAUCUUCACCACAGCUGCCGUGGUCAUCGACAAGCUGGCUGACAUCUACAAGAAGCCGUUUACCUCCAUACCUGUCAGGAUUGAGCAACAUUCAUGUGAUCGUCUGUCCAUCAUGUCCCUCUGUCCUGACUACAGUCUGAAGAUCACACAGCUUGCACUGGACCAGUCCAAGUCUCUGGAGCUCUUCUUCGCGACCAACCAGGGCUCGUGGGCAACGGACCCCUUGAACAACAAAUCCCCGAGGCUGUGCCGCAAGUUUUCCUCUCCUCCUCCUCCUCUCUCCAUCCCCUCUCGCACCUCCUCCCCCGUCCAUUCCCGCAAGCUCUCCCUCAGUUCCCCAAUCAGUACGAAAGCGGGAGCCUUGGACCUGUCCAUCAGCCCCUCCUCCUCUGCAGCCAACUCCCCCACCUCCAGUCACUGUCCUUCCAUCUCCUCUCCUCCUCCCACUUCAACCAGGCCCCCCUCUGGUUUUUCCUCCCCUCCGCCCACCGCCACGCGCUCUCCCAGCCUCCCCCAGGCCUCUGGGAUGUCCUCGCCGCCCCCCAUCUCCACCAAGUCCCCGCUGGACCUCAGCCGCGGUCCCAGCUCCCCAGAGCUGAGCCCAGCUGCAGGGGAGGACGUCAGCGGAGAGCUGCCUCGCCUCGAUGCCUUCUGUGGGAAGCUGAGGCGCAGCAUCCGCAGGGCUGUCCUGGAGUCAGUGUCCCUGGACAAGUUUCUUCCUGAAUCCCCAGCCAGCAGCGAGCCGGGCGACAUGUCUCCCUGCCGCUCGCCUUCAACGCCAAGGCAUCUCCGCUACAGACAGACAGGAGUCACAUCAGGGGAGAACUCUCGCUGUACAAUGUCACCGGCUUCAGCGUUUGCGAUUGCCACUGCUGCUGCCGGGCAUAGCAGCUCCCAGGGUUUUAGUAAUUCUGAGAAAGUCUGUGACAAAGAAUUCAUCAUCCGGAGAGCUGCUACCAACAGAGUUCUCAAUGUGCUGCGGCACUGGGUUUCCAAGCACUCCCAGGACUUCGACAUGAACAGUGAGCUGAAGAUGGGGGUGAUGGGUCUCUUGGAAGAAGUGCUGCGGGAUCCAGACCUGCUGCAACAGGAGAGGAAAGCAACAACAAACAUUUUAAGUGCCCUUUCUCAAGAAGAACAAGAUGAUGCUCAGCUGAAGAUAGAGGACAUAUUACAGAUGGCGGAGAGUCCGAAGGCCGAGUGUUUUGAGUCUCUCUCGGCCAUGGAGCUGGCAGAACAGAUCACACUACUGGACCACAUCGUGUUCAGGAGUAUUCCCUAUGAGGAGUUCCUCGGUCAGGGCUGGAUGAAGGUCGACAAGACCGAGAGGACGCCGUACAUCAUGAAGACCAGCCAGCACUUUAAUGAUAUGAGUAACCUGGUGGCGUCUCAGAUAAUGACCCAUACUGACGUGGGCUCCAGGGCUAGCUCCAUAGAAAAGUGGCUAGCAGUGGCUGAUAUCUGUCGCUGCCUCAACAACUACAACGGCGUGCUGGAGAUCACCUCUGCUCUCAACCGCAGCGCCAUCUACAGGCUGAAGAAGACCUGGGCAAAAGUCUGCAAGCAGACAAAGGCACUCAUGGACAGGCUGCAGAAGACAGUGUCAUCAGAAGGGAGGUUCAAGAAUCUCAGAGAGACGCUGAAAAACUGUAACCCUCCAUGCGUCCCAUACCUGGGAAUGUACCUCACUGACCUGGCUUUCAUUGAGGAGGGAACACCCAACUUCACGGAGGAGGGCCUGGUUAACUUCUCCAAGAUGAGGAUGAUUUCUCACAUUAUCCGGGAGAUUCGUCAGUUCCAGCAAGCACCUUACAGGAUAGAGCACCAACCCAAGGUGACUCAGUUCCUCCUGGAUAAGACACUAGUGAUGGAUGAAGAUACCCUCUAUGAGCUCUCGCUGAAGAUCGAACCCCGAGUACCACCUGGCUAAUUAUAACUUAAUUUCAAACACAAACAUAUUCACACAGACAUGAUACGCAUAUCUCCAUCUUACAAUAUCAAUCACGGAUUCACACAACUUGAGAUUCUUUCUUAAAAAAAAAGCAGGGGUUGUUUCAUAAAACACCACCAGUUAUUGUGCUUAGGAAACUCAGGAGAAAAUGUGCCUUGAUGUAUGAAUAUCUGAUGUGUAUAUUUAGUGAACAGAAUGAACUGUAUAACAUACACAACUCUGCCAUACAAUCGUACAGUUAUGACUGUAGAAACAACCAUGUUAGCUACUAAACAUGGCACUAGAACGUAACCAGUUGCUGCUAUCACACUGUAAAUACCAAACUGCCUCUGUAGUCUUGCACACACAGUAAACUUUGUCAGAUAAGUUUUACAUUAUUUGUAUCACGAUGGCACAGGAUGUAUAAAGAGAAAUGGAUAGAUAGAGCAUGCAAGUUAAAGCAGAAAUAAUAGAUUUAUUUGGGCCACAAAAGCGAAGUGGAGGACUAGUUUGGGAUCCUGCGGGACCCAACGCAUUCUUGCAGGAGGUCUAAACAAAAAAUAAACUGUGGGAUGAAAAUUGUAGAAAUUAGUAUCUUUUUAUGUGUGAAUCAAUAAUCACACUGUCUUUAUUAAAAUUAAACGCCACGUGAACAGAUCGGACAUCAAGCAAGUCCUCUUACAGGACUGUGAACUAGACUGAACCCGAGCACGUUCGUUGGCGCCGCUAUGGAUACACAUACACGGUACGGUGGCUCAUAAUGACCAAAUGAACAAAGAUGAUGAAAACAAUCAUUUAGCCAAAUGAUCUACAAAAAUCAAAUGAAAGUGUUAUGUUUAAACGCAGAGGAGGAGAACAUGAUUUUGCUCCGUUAUUACCGACAGGUAUGCGUUAGAGGACUGCACUGGGAUUCCACGGGUCCAGCAGGAGCGGAUUAAGAAAACAGUCCCGCGGGGCUCUACGGCAAAGCAAGCUGUAAACACAACACUGGCAUAUUAUCACCUAAUGAAGAUGAAGAUGUAUGUUCUAGCAAACAAUUGCUUAUUUACACAUCGAGCAAACACAGAGCAACAUCAGCAUGCAUCUGGAGUCGUGUUUGUGUCACCUGAUGAAUGUGAGUCCACCAUUCUCUCUCUGUUAGCUCUGUGUUUGGUCUCCACCAGCUCCUGAGGGAAACAUCUGUCUCUUUAGCUGCUGAAUGCUCCACUUUCUUUAUUAGCUAUUCUCCAUCUUUGUGUGUCUGCUACAUACAGUGGGUUUUUACAGCUUUUUUUCCACUGAAAACAGCAGCCUGCUGCUGCUAGAAAUUAGAUUGAUGAGAGCGGUGAGACUCGACCAAAACAGUAUAGUUUUGGCCCGAAAAACCAAAACAAUGAACUGAAAGAUGCUAACAUGGAUAAUAAAUCUCUGUGGCUUUGUUACUACGAGCGACACCUUUCACAUUAUACAGUCAUUUGACCCCCUGUUAAUAUAAAAGUAUUGAGAACUGCACUGAUCAAUAUUUUUCUAAUAAAAAUGGAUACUUUUUCAGCCUCAGCAGGCCGCUUUACGCUACCUGCUAUCAAACAACGGACAGACAGUCAGAGAGCAGCUGGUGAACAUAGUGGAGCAUUUAGCAGCUAAAGAGCCGGAUGUUUCCCUCAGCAGCUGGAGACAAAAGAGCUAAAAGGAGAGUGAAUAUCGGACUUAAAUUCGUUGUAAACACGACUCAAAUUAAUGUUGCUUGUCUGUUGGAUGUGUAGAUUGGCAUCUGUACACCAUAAAAAUCUUAUAAGGUGAUUUUAUGUCAGUGUUGUGUUUAAAGUUUGUUCUGAGUGGCCAGAGAAAAUCAAAUAUUGCUGCUAUAAAAUAGUUUUUAUUGGACCUAACGGAGUAAUUUCUGAGUGUUUGCAAGCGUAUUUAUUGUUUUAAAGCUGCUUCUUUUGUAAUGAUUGUGUAUAGUGAAAAAGUCUUUUUGGGUUUCCCAGUGGCUGUGACGUGACUACUCUGAAAUUGCCUCACGGGCCAGCUCUGUUCUGGAGGAUUUGAAGCACAGUGUCAGCUGAUAUAAUGAGGGUCUUAAAACCAGAUUUUGACCCAAGGACGUCUUCAACACAGAAGAUCAGAGAAUUGGCCCAAAAGGUUUCUUACAUGCUACAAAACCUGUUAAAUUUAUUUUACAUGUAUCAAUAUUAUUAUUAGUUCCUUAUCAAUGUGAUCAUUAAUAAUAUUCAUAUUUUAAACCUUGUUGACUGCAUUAGUAAAAUAGUAAUAUCUUUGCACUAUUGAUUUGAAAAGAAUGUCGAUAGACUCUAAACUUGUUUGUAGCAUGAAUAUAGCAUGAUGUCCCCUCUGUCCUUGAGAUUACUGUUAUUCCUGUAGUUGACUGUUACUGAGUUUUAUUAGGUUUAUUCAUUUAUUUUGGCACAAACAUUUCAAUGCAUUGGUAUAUAAGACCCUUUCUUUCUUACAUUACUGUGUACUUUCAAAUUCCAGUUUUGUUGUAUUUUUCCAUGAAUUUCUCUGCGUAAUGUACAGAUAUUUACACACAAUAAAAGCAUAACAAUGUGAA